CAGUCAGUGGAUGGUCAGCGGUCAGUAGGCGUGGUUGGACACGAACAGGAGAUGGUCAGUGGAUGGUCAGUGGAUGCCCAGCAGUGACCAGUGGCGAUCAGUGGUCAGCGGUCAGCGGUCAGUAGGCGUGGUUGGACACGAACAGGAGAUGGUCAGCAGGAGGUCCAUGGGUGGUCAGUGGAUGCCCAGCAGUGACCAGUGGCGAUCAGUGGUCAGCGGUCAGCGGUCAGUAGGCGUGGUUGGACACGAACAGGAGAUGGUCAGCAGGAUGUCCAUGGGUGGUCAGCAGUGGUCAGCAGUGGUCAGCAGGAGGUCCAUGGAUGGUCAGUGGAUGCCCAGCAGUGACCAGCGGUCAGCGGUCAGUAGGCGUGGUUGGACACGAACAGCGACUCGCUGGCCGCCGCCCCCGCGGUGCCACUCGGGGUGUACUUGCC